CUUUGCAAGAAUAAAGACAAUUACAUCCCCCGAAAGCUAGUGAGCUGACCUCUAUUUGUUAAGAACCCACUGCCUAGUGUAGCAAUACUACCAAUAAAAUUAACGUCAGCGGCUACAUACCUACCGCACUACCUAAUACCUGGUUUUCAUCCACACCAGCUUUAGCUGUUAAAGCUACUACAUAAUCGCUAGCUAGAAAAAUAAAUUAAGGAGAAGCUUAAUUUAGCCGCCCCAUUUGACAAAAAACCACAUUCCCCCCUGUAGGCUUGAAAUCAGCCACCAGCACACCACGUUUUAGUAGUAUAUAUAAGGAGAAUCCUAUAUCAACAAUUACCCAUAAAUGAAUAACUGUGUAAACCCCCACCGCAGUAAAACUAUGCAAAGAUUAGUAUUUAAUCUCAUAUACAAGGAAGGAACUCGGCAAAAACUUAUUUCGACUGUUUAACAAAAACAUUGCCUAUAGACCAAUCCAUUAUAGGUAUGCCCUGCCCGGUGAUAGAUAAUAUUAAACGGCCGCGGUACCCUGACCGUGCAAAGGUAGCAAAAUCAUUUGCCUCCUAAUUAGAGGCCAGUAUGAACGGGUUAACGAAAGUAAAGCUGUCUCCCUAGUAUCCAUAAAACUUUUUCUCCAGGUGAAAAAACCUGGAUCUCUAUAAAAGACAAGAAGACCCUGCGAGCUUUAGUCUACGCAGGCUAAUAUCGAACCCACAGUACCAAACUACACCUGCAAUGACAUUUAUUGGGGCAAUAAUGGAGCACACAAAACCUCCUAUACACACAAGACACCCUGUCCCCCAACAGAUCCCAUCCAAGGACCAAAGGCACAAGCUACCGCAGGGAUAACAGACUAAUUAUUCCUCCGGAGUUCAAAUCUACAGGAAAGCUUGGCACCUCGAUGUUGGCUUAAAGAUCUCUUUUAGAUGCACCAGUCUAAGAAGUGGGUUUGUUCAACCCUUAAUACUUUACAUGAG
rnacentral:rRNA from 1 species